rnacentral:rRNA from 1 species
GACGAACGCUGGCGGCGUGCUUAACACAUGCAAGUCGGACGGUAAGGCCCUUCGGGGUACACGAGUGGCGAACGGGUGAGUAACACGUGGGUGAUCUGCCCUGCACUUCGGGAUAAGCCUGGGAAACUGGGUCUAAUACCGGAUAGGACCACUGCCUGCAUGGGUGGUGGUGGAAAGCUUUUGCGGUGUGGGAUGGGCCCGCGGCCUACCAGCUUGUUGGUGGGGUGAUGGCCUACCAAGGCGACGACGGGUAGCCGGCCUGAGAGGGUGACCGGCCACACUGGGACUGAGAUACGGCCCAGACUCCUACGGGAGGCAGCAGUGGGGAAUAUUGCACAAUGGGCGCAAGCCUGAUGCAGCGACGCCGCGUGAGGGAUGACGGCCUUCGGGUUGUAAACCUCUUUCAGCACCGACGAAGCGCAAGUGACGGUAGGUGCAGAAGAAGGACCGGCCAACUACGUGCCAGCAGCCGCCGUAA